rnacentral:lncRNA from 1 species
AAUGAAGCGAAGAGGAUCUGACUGGCGUGGCUCUUUGCACACCUGGAACUGGAUGAGAUGUUAUCGCCCUGGUUGAGCUGGGUACUACUGUACAGCAGGCAAGCUGGCAAACCAGUUCUGGAGGGCUGAUUUUGCUGGGUUUGAUGUGAAGUCAGGACACCUCUGGGGGCAAUCCUGCAGUUGAAAUCUUUGAAAUCUUUCACACUUUUGGGAUGCUGUUGCUACUAUUAGAAUUACCGUUGUUGUACGUAUGGAGACAGGGAGGCAAACGAUUCAUCGUUUCAUCGUUCUGUGGAAUUCUUCUAGAGACUUCUUGGGGAGAAGAUCUGGAAAGCAUGAUGAGUAGAGAUGCUACCUGUGAAUAGUUUCAGACUACUGAAAGGCCCGAAACUACGAGGCAUUCGUCUUUGAAGGCAGUCUAUAAUGGAAGGUGAUGUCGAGAAGUCAUUAUCUGUCACUCAGGAAAACUUUGUGAUAGGCAGCCUGCCUGGCUUCUGACAUGGCACUUGGCUGGAGCGGAUGGAAAAAUAGAAACUUGCACAGAAAGCCUGAAAUACAUGGUCUGAUUUUUCAGAAUUGGUAAGUGCUUAGCAUUUAUUGCAUUUCGUGUUUGCGCAGCACUUUUGAGAAUCUUACUUAUCACAUUCUUAAACUCUAAGUCAGAAACUUGAAACGCUAAGUUAGAAAUUUGUGCUCCUUGCAUAAUUUUUUCCCCCUACAAUCUUGCCUUCUGUCUCUGCAUAUCAGUUCUUCAUCUGUAAGUAAGGAUAAUGUAUUAUUUCUCCUCUCUCUAUCUGCUACAUUUAAAUUUCUUGUUAUUCAAAGCUUUGUCCUUUACUACCAUAUGUGCAGUCUUUACCCCCAUGGACUUGAAUUUCAGAUAGGUCCUCUUUGAGGUUCUUUAAUGUAAUUAUCAAUGGUCAAUCUGAUUUAAGUCAUAAAAUAUUUGUAAUUCUCUGCCCACGGAAGGCUUAAUUAAUUAAAAUUCACUUAAUGUAUCACAGGCCUUGUUCAGUGAGGAGCAUGCUGGAAAUACCAAAUAUUAUUUAUUACUUCUGUAGCAAAAAUGUGAAUAAUAACAUGAGAUUGUGGUUCCAAUCUACAGGGUUUGUAUCCGAACCCAAA